CUGCUCUCAUCACCUAUAUACUCUUCUCUCUGCCCGUCUCUGCUUCCCCCCCCUUCCCCCCCCCCUUUUCUCCCGGCCGACGGAGCUGAAGGGGCGGGGGUUCCUUCCUUGGAGUGUUUCUAGAGCUCGGAGGCUGCUGGUAGGGGGGCACCACUUUCAGAUAAAAACAUAGACCUGAAUGGCAUCAUCCAGUAUCCAAGGAAACCAUUGUGUCUGUAACCAGCUAAUGAGCUGCAACAGAGCCUGGCCUUCAUUUUCAGCAAAUUAAGUUCAUCCCUCAUAGGAAUUGUGGUCUGGCUGUGGCACCGCUCCUAGGUUCUCUAAACAUGAAUAUGCCUUUGGGGGAAGACAGAAGAACAUGGAAGCCAUGUGAAAAAAACGGAUCCUAAGGCAGUUUUGAACAUCUGGAGGCCUGAUUUAUUGGAGAUUGCAAAUGUACAGUGUAACAUAGCUGUGGAGAGCGAGAAGAUCAGGAUUGUCAAUGCUGUCAUUGCUUUUACUGGAAUCCCCAGCACGAAUUGAAGGUCUCACUUUGCCACCUAGGCUGGAUGCAAUGCAACGGUAUGUUGAUCUUGGUUCACUGCAGCCUCAACCUCCUGAGCUCAUGUGAUCCUCCCACCUCAGUCCCCCACGUCGCUUGGAUUACAGGCCUGUGCCACCACACCUGGCUAACUUUUUUUGUAAUUUUUGUAGAGACAGGGUCUCACUAUGUUUCCCAUGCUGGUCUUUAAUGCCUGAGCUCAAGCCAUCCGCCUGCCUCGGCCUCCCAAAUUGCUGGGAUUACAGGCAUGAGCCACCAUGCCCAGCCUAAUUCUUCUAAAUCUUAUCCUAGUAAUUAAGCCAGAAUUUUUCUCUGCCAAGACCAAUAGAUGGACCAAGAAGUACUCAUCCUUGUAAACUUUCUUUGGAUAAAUUGCUUACAUAUAAUAAAUUCAGAGUUAAGUAAUAAAAAUAAUGAACUACUGUCUUG
rnacentral:lncRNA from 10 species